rnacentral:rRNA from 1 species
UUGCACGCUGGCGGCAGGCCUAACACAUGCCAGUCGAACGGUAACAGGAAGCAGCUUGCUGCUUCGCUGACGAGUGGCGGACGGGUGAGUAAUGUCUGGGAAACUGCCUGACGGAGGGGGAUAACUACUGGAAACGGUAGCUAAUACCGCAUAACGUCGCAAGACCAAAGAGGGGGACCUUAGGGCCUCUUGCCAUCGGAUGUGCCCAGAUGGGAUUAGCUAGUAGGUGGGGUAACGGCUCACCUAGGCGACGAUCCCUAGCUGGUCUGAGAGGAUGACCAGCCACACUGGAACUGAGACACGGUCCAGACUCCUACGGGAGGCAGCAGUGGGGAAUAUUGCACAAUGGGCGCAAGCCUGAUGCAGCCAUGCCGCGUGUAUGAAGAAGGCCUUCGGGUUGUAAAGUACUUUCAGCGGGGAGGAAGGGAGUAAAGUUAAUACCUUUGCUCAUUGACGUUACCCGCAGAAGAAGCACCGGCUAACUCCGUG